UACAUUAUUAACUUUUAUAUUCGUAGAUAAUGCGUCGUUCAGGUUUUUCAAAAAAAAAUAUUCGUAGAUAAUGUAUGACAAAUGCUUGUUAGUUUUAUGUUUUUCUUCGGAACGGUUCAACAAGGGUUUCUGAACUCUCAUUUAUCUUCACAACGGAUUCACAAACGUCUUCCGAAUUCUCUUGCUAUCAUCUCAUACCAUUGUGAGCAAGAGCAGGGGCAGGCACAGGUGGACCAUGGAUGUGGCUGGCAUAUGCCCCCCCCCCCCCCCCCCCCCCAAUCUUAUUAUUAUUAUUAUUUUUCUUACAUAAUUAAUCUAAAUUUUAUUCAUAUACCCCUGACUAAAUAUUGUUUAAGAUAUUUACAUACUAAAUUAUUCUUUAGAUUCCCCCUGAUCAAGUGUUCCAAAACUUCAAAUUAACAAUUAUACUAUUAAAUAUUUACAUAAAAUGUUAUGGAGUUAUUGUACACGAAAUACACCAGAAUGCUUUUUGACCAAUAAGAACAAAUCUACUUCAAACGGUUUAGCAAACCAAACCGGUUGAAUUAUAUACAAAUUAUAGUAGAAAGAGAAAUGCGAGCAUUCCAUAUUAGUUUAUCUGCCUUUGAAUUUGUUAUCUUUGAAAUAUGUUGAAAGAUAAAAGUUGGGAAUAAUUUGUUAAGAUGGGAAACAAAAACAUGCCUCUUUGUUAAGCCAGCUCAGUGAUUAAACUUAAAUUUGCACUUAUACAAAUUAACUUUUUUCUUUAAUAUUUCGUUCGCAUAUCAAUACCAAAAAGUUAACGACCUACUGAAAUACUUUUUCAAAAUGGAUAUUUAUUAUCAAAAGAGUUUAUCGCGUAGUUCUGACUAUUCCGAUAUCAAUCGCCACAGCUGUAAGAAAAUUUUGAAGUUGAAACUGAUAAAUAAUUAUUUGUCAAUCUAACAUGUCACAAAAAAUUAAAUGAGCUGAUUUUGUUUUCAAUUUACUAUUUUUAUAAACAACUGAUAAGAUUCAAUUGUGAAGUACGUGUGUAUUAUAUACACAGGUAACAUGUUUAAAUUUAUUUCAGAGUAACACAUUCAAGGGCUAAGAGCACCCUCAACGCAAAUACCCAACUUGGGUUUCUUAUUUUGUUUUUUUUUUUCUUUUUUGGCUGAUUUUUUUUUUUUUUUUUAAAUUAAAAAGGAACCAAUUGCGGGCCGCCACGUAUUAAUGGGGCCCGCGAAACAGUGCAAUAUACGUCCCUUAUUUCGCGACAGGAGACAACCGUCUCUCCUUUUUUGCUGGACCCCACACUACCUUUUUCCUUAAAAACUCUCGUUGCAUACCGCGAUAAUCAUGGCCUAAGGUGAUCUAGAGACUAGAGUAAAAUAAAAUAAAAUGUACAUGCAUGUGCUACGUCAAUGGAAUAGUGAAUAUAAGCUCCAAAGAUUGAAAAUAGCUGAAUCAAGAAACAGAGCCCAGCAUAAGAAGGCCAAUAAAGCCGAGACUUGGUAUUUGAUACAUCUUUUAUCUCCGCACAUGGGUUCAUCAAUAGACAAAAGCAUUUCGGUUGCACUGGCUGCACCACAAGCCCCACUCAGAGAAAGAAACGACAGUACCUGUUACAUAUAUAUAGAGAGAAUAAACAUAACGUGCAGCGUUUUGAGGGGAGAUACAGAAACUCUUUCGCAUUUGCUUACGACAUCACCGGCGAGAACUAUGGAUAGAACUCUAGGUUUUUGAGGAAGUUGUUUCAAUAAGACAGAGUAUGUAUCGGCCAACGUGUGCAAGAUGCUCCAUAGAAUUACAUAAGCCAUUACAACCGCCAGAUAGCUUAAGAAAGAGAGACAAGAAAGAUCAAAAAAUCAAAUCUCUUUAUGAGCUGAUGCAAAUUAACAUAUUUACCAGAAGGUCGUGACCUCAUUGAAAUCGUAAUCCAAGCACAUGGAAAUCAGAGAAGUUGAAGAGAAACCGAGUUGGAAGAUACGGAGCGCGAAACUGACGCUGGUGCCAAACGAUCCAGGCACACGCUCCAUCUGAUUACUAAGUGAAAUCUUAAACUAAAACGUUAUAUGAAAUUUAUAUUAAAUGUGUACUUUAUCUACGUUAAAGAAAAAAAGAUUUAGAAAAAAUAGUUCUUAUGACGAAAUGAAUUGACAAUGCUAUGUGUGCUAGUUCCAAUCAACAAACGUAGUCACCAAAUAAAUAAAUAAACUAGUCAAAUUCGAAUUAAUUAUAAGAAGAAAAUGCGAAGUAAAUUAGUCGUACUCAUCAAUAAUACUGGAACAUACCAUCACUCCAAUGCACCUAAUCUUUUCUUCAUCAUAAAUAAAGGAAAAUAUUUUUUAACAAAUUCCACUAUUGUUAGAAAUAAACAUUUUUUUCAUUUUCAUGAUGAAUGUUGUAACAAAUACGUAAAUUAUAACUUGUUGUAACAAUUCGUAGCAAAAAAAGGAUAUUGUUGUAACAAAUACUUAAAUAACUAAAUUUUCGACAUCUCGUAUAAUCAAUCACAUAUUAGAAACUACCCACUCUGUUUCUAAAUAAUACGGGUGUAAUCGGUUAUUCCUAAUUGGAAUAUUAAGAAUAAAAUGAAUGAUUAAUUUGUGGAAUAGAAAAAUUGGAAUAGUGUGAAAAAUGGAAUGAAAACCGGAAUAAUUUUUAGAGUCACAAAUAAAAAGAAUAACUUUUACAAAUGAUUUAUUGUUUUGUUUCAUUUAAGCAUUGGGUAUUUUACUUGGAUCUGAAGAUCCAAACCGAAACCGAUCCAAAAAUACAUGUUCGGAUCCGUGUCCAUGCUAAAAUAUAUGUUGGAUUCUUUUCUUUUGGACCCGUAUGUUUCGGUCGGGGUCCUACCCGAGAUCCGAUCGGGUAUCCGAAGUAUCUAAAAUUUAUUGUAUAUAUUAGGUAUAUUAGGGUGAUUGGGUAUUAUUUUGGUAUUUUGGAUAUAUUUUUUUAAGUUUCAGGUUUGGAUUUUCGGGUAUAAUUUCGGUUUUCGGGUACAAUUUUAGAUUUUCAGAAAAUAUAUUUUGGAAGUUCGGGUAAAAUUUUGGAUAUCUUUUUGGUCUGAUUUUAGGUAAUUUUUCUGAUACUUUUAGGGUUUUCAGCAGAGUUUUGAAAACCGGACCGGACCGGCCGGUCGGACCGGUCCAACCGUGAAUCGUUAAGUAAACCGAGUCCGGGUUGAGUUAAAACUCGGAUUUGAACUAAACCGCCAAAACCGGUUAAAAACCGGCUAAACCGGUGACUCGGGUCAGUGAAAAAAACCGGUUCAACAAAUACUUACGUAAUUUCAUUAGUUUUGAAAUAGAAAUGGUAACUUCUUAACUGAUUCAAGAUUCUUAGCGUUUUGUUUGAAAACCAUAAUAAUUUCUUUCCCUUUUCAAGAUUGGUAGUACAUUUGUUUCCUUCUUUUCGUUAUACAUAUAUACUAUAAAUUAUUGUUCAUUCAUGGUCAAUCAUUUUAUUAUAAGUUAUAUAUACACCACUAUAAACAAUAGUGAUCACGCCUAAAAACAAUAGUGAUCACGCCUAAUUUUUAUUUAAUACUUAUUUAAUUAUAUUUUCAUUUAUAAUACUAAAGGUUUCUAAAUUUAUGUAUAUAUAUAUAUAUAAAUCUUAAAUAUAUAUAUAUAUAUAUAUAUAUAUAUAUAUAUAUAUAUUUAUUUAUGAAAACCCGGUUGAACCGGUUAGACCGGUCUGACCAGUCGCCCAAUGAUAAUUCCGAGUCAGUGACCGGUCCGGUUUUCAAAACAUUGGUUUUCAGGUAUUUUUUGAAUUUUUGGAUCCUAAAUACCCGAACUGAUACGAAUCCAAAAAAUAUCGAAAAAUUAUGGAUAUUUUUACAGGUAUAUAAAUUAUAGACCCCAACCAAUCUGGAUCCGACAAGACCUGAUCCAAAACCGACCCAAAGAACUGUAGGUACCUAUAUGGUUCUAAAUUUUAGGAUCCGAAAGAACCAGACCCGGAUCCAACAUAAAAUCCCGGAUGCCUAGGUCUAGUUUCAUUCCAAAAUGGAAUGCUUUGAAUUGUGUUAUGUUAACUUUUAUUAUGACAGGUAACUAAUUUAUGGAAUCCAAUGAAAUGAUCCAUUCCAAGUGAUUUUAUUACAGAAAAUGUCAUUCCAAUUGUAGUACAUGUGUCUCUAUCUCUCAGUCUUGAUAGUUAAAUAUUAAUAUUUGUGAAAAAUAUAAAACUUAAAUUAUUAAAUUACACAUACACUAUUUAUCGAUAGCAUUUUCAUUAAUACAAAGAAAGGUCUAAAUACAAUUUAACAAGGUAAUCGCCGGGCCUUGGCUAUCAUCCGAUAGCCCAUAAUCAUCGUAGAAAUUCAAUUCUUUAUUGGGCUCAAAUUCCAGGGAUUCUCCGCGCAUCAUUUAAAUUAAACUAUCUUUUGUUAUGCGUUGUAUACAUUGGUUCACUGUCGAUCUCGAAUACGGUCAUCCAAAUAUCUAGCAACCGAAUGACUGGUAGACUUUUGGUAUAGCGAAAUCAAAUCAUUUUCAAGACAAGUUGAAUUGAUAAAUUAAAUAGCACUUUCAACCAAUCGAUAAAUAACGUUUUGAUUCAUAUUUAAUAAUAAAAACGAUUAGAAUAAAAGAAUUAUAGUUUUGACAAAAUAAAAAAAAAA